rnacentral:rRNA from 1 species
UACAGGGGGUGCAAACGUUGCUCGGAAUUAUUGGGCGUAAAGCGCACGUAGGCGGUUUGUUAUGUCGGAUGUGAAAGCCCUUGGCUCAACUGAGGAAGUGCAUCCGAAACUGGCAAGCUAGAGUAUGUAAGAGGGUCGCGGAAUUCCCGGUGUAGAGGUGAAAUUCGUAGAUAUCGGGAGGAAUACCGGUGGCGAAGGCGGCGACCUGGGACAAUACUGACGCUGAGGUGCGAAAGCGUGGGGAGCAAACAGG